AUUGAACGCUGGCGGCAUGCUUUACACAUGCAAGUCGAACGGCAGCGCGGGCUUCGGCCUGGCGGCGCGUGGCGAACGGGUGAGUAAUGCAUCGGAACGUGCCCAGUAGUGGGGGAUAGCCCGGCGACAGCCGGAUUAAUACCGCAUACGACCUGAGGGUGAAAGCGGGGGGCCGAAAGGCCUCGCGCUAUUGGAGCGGCCGAUGUCGGAUUAGCUAGUUGGUGGGGUAAAGGCUUACCAAGGCGACGAUCCGUAGCUGGUCUGAGAGGACGACCAGCCACACUGGGACUGAGACACGGCCCAGACUCCUACGGGAGGCAGCAGUGGGGAAUUUUGGACAAUGGGGGCAACCCUGAUCCAGCCAUGCCGCGUGCGGGAAGAAGGCCUUCGGGUUGUAAACCGCUUUUGUUCGGGAAGAAAUCCUCUGGGCUAAUACCCCGGGGGGAUGACGGUACCGGAAGAAUAAGCACCGGCUAACUACGUG
rnacentral:rRNA from 1 species